AGAGUGUCAUUGUCUGAAUAUGCAGAAAACAAAAAACAGCCACAACUGAUGAACUGAUCUGAUAACAACCAAUGCAACCAAAGAUCUGAUGUUAAAUGGAACCAGCUGCUCUCAACAGACAUCCCAGGAAACAAGUUGAAAAUUUUUUGGCAUCCCUACUCACCAUAAAACGUUGCACAAGAUCAGUGAGCCUAAGUGCCAGUCAGAAAUAUUUCCCAGCCCUUUUUUCAGGUCAGGAGAAAAACAGAAAAAAUAUCCUGGGUUUGAGCUGAGGACUGCACUAGAACAUUCAGAAAAUGAGAAAACUAGUAGAUAACUGGGUUCUAAUCUGCAUGUUGGAAGGUGCCAAUCAGGUUUCUACUUCAAGAGAAUGCAUUAAAGGAAUAAGAUAAAGGAGCUAGACAUACCAGAAACUUCAUAAAAAGAAAAUAAAUGUUUUAUUUUCCUUCCAAUCAUUCAGUGACUAGCAUGAAGCACCACCAUCCUCAUGCAAGGAGAUUCC